rnacentral:tRNA from 1 species
AGUAAAGUCAGCUAAAUUAAGCUUU